ACGAACGCUGGCGGCGUGCCUAAUACUUGCAAGUAGAACGCACAGUUUAUACCGUAGCUUGCUACACCAUAGACUGUGAGUUGCGAACGGGUGAGUAACGCGUUGGUAACCUGUCUGGUAGCGGGGGAUAACUAUUGGAAACGAUAGCUAAUACCGCAUAAUAUUUUUUAUUGCAUGAUAACUUAUUUAAAGAUGCUAUUGCAUCACUACUAGACGGAUCUGCGUUGUAUUAGCUAGUAGGUUAGGUAACGGCUCACCUAUGCGACGUUACAUAGCCGACCAGGGAUGGUGGUCGGCCACACUGGGACUGGGACACGGCCCAGACUCCUACGGGAGGCAGCAGUAGGGAAUCUUCGGCAAUGGACGAAAGUCUGACCGAACAACGCCGCGUGAGUGAAGAAGGUUUUCGGGUCGUAAAGCUCUGUUGUAAGAGAGGAACGGGUGUGAGAGUGGAAAGUUCACACUGUGACGGUAUCUUACUAGAAAGGGACGGCUAACUACGUG
rnacentral:rRNA from 1 species